CAGCGAUAAAGAAACAUCGUCACUGUUCUGUGAAUGUGUGAGAUGUAGGUGGUAUUGGCAUAGCUGUGGGUGGUGUGACGUGGAAAGGAGGUGGGAGGAGCAAUGGGGGGCAGCUAGAAACGAGUUUCAUGCAUAAUAAGUAAGACUUUGACGGUCCUGGUAAUUGUUGCUUUUUUGUGUUUAACUGUUUUUUAUUUUUUCUUUAAAUAGGCUGACUCUGUGCUUAAGAAUCUAAAUUGCUGCUCAUAUGGCAAUGCUGCAUACUUCAGAGAAGAGAACUUUUGUACUGAUAGCAAGGACAUGGUCAAACAAAGCGCCACACUUGGUCAUUACAAGCCACAGGAUCUUCUGUUCGCAGUACAAAUUACUCUUUAUCGAGUCCUUUAUAGAGAUCUGCACAUCUCGUCUGACUGCAUGCGUGGCAGCUGUGCUAGCUGGGCACUUUAUUGUGGAAUGAGACGACAGCAGGAAGAAAAAUAUUGGAACAACAGCCUCCCUUGAGGUCCUUUGCUCUCGCUGCUGCAGCAGUGAGACCACGCAGAUAGUAA
rnacentral:lncRNA from 1 species